GUUAAGUUCAACACCAGUUAAGUUCAACACUGUUUCCUCCUGAAAGCCAACAUGGAAGUUCUCUGUGUUGUUUGGCCUUUGAUAUUUAUCAUAGGGCUGACAGCUGGUCAGCAUAUAAAAUCGCUCGCAUCUGAAGAGAUUUCUAAAGAGGGGGACCCCAUUAUGCUCACAUGUAACUACAGUUUAGCUUACAGUUCGGACUCCCUGCUGUGGUAUCGCCAGUACCCCAGUUCAAGGCCAGAGUUCUUGUAUCUUCUGACUGAAGGGAAUCACACUCAACAAGCGAAUCCACCAGUUCAUGGGUUGUCUGUUAAACUAAACAGUAAGAAGAAGAAGCUGUUUCUGGAGAUCUCAUCCACUCAAGUCUCAGACUCUGCUGUCUACUACUGCGCCCUGCAGCCCACAGUGACAGAAGACCCAACAGCACUGUACAAAAACUUCAAUAAGGGUACAGGAACAUAA